rnacentral:rRNA from 1 species
UACGUAGGGUGCGAGCGUUAAUCGGAAUUACUGGGCGUAAAGCGUGCGCAGGCGGUUUUGUAAGCCAGAUGUGAAAUCCCCGGGCUUAACCUGGGAAUGGCAUUUGGGACUGCAAGGCUCGAGUGCGGCAGAGGAGACUGGAAUUCCUGGUGUAGCAGUGAAAUGCGUAGAUAUCUGGAGGAACACCGGUGGCGAAGGCGGCAUCCUGGACCGACACUGACACUGAGGAGCGAAAGCGUGGGGAGCAAACAGG